UGCCGCGUGCGGGAAGAAGGCCUUCGGGUUAGUAAACCGCUUUCGGACGGAAAGAAAUCGCAUGGACUAAUACUCUGUGUGGAUGACGGUACCGUAAGAAGAAGCACCGGCUAACUACGUGCCAGCAGCCGCGGUAAUACGUAGGGUGCGAGCGUUAAUCGGAAUUACUGGGCGUAAAGCGUGCGCAGGCGGUUUCUUAAGCCAGACGUGAAAUCCCCGGGGCUUAACCCUGGGGAACUGCGUUUGGAACUGGGAGACUAGAGUGUGUCAGAGGGAGGUGGAAUUCCGCGUGUAGCAGUGAAAUGCGUAGAUAUGCGGAGGAACACCGAUGGCGAAGGCAGCCUCCUGGGAUAACACUGACGCUCAUGCACGAAAGCGUGGGGAGCAAACAGGAUUAGAUACCCUGGUAGUCCACGCCCUAAACGAUGUCAACUGGCUGUUGGGAGAGAAAUCUUUCAGUAG
rnacentral:rRNA from 1 species